GACGGAGGGUGCUAGCGUUGUUCGGAAUCACUGGGCGUAAAGGGCGCGUAGGCGGCCUCAGGUGUCGGAUGUGGAAGCCCGGGGCUCAACCCCGGAGGUGCAUCCGAAACUCUGGGGCUGGAGGUCGGAAGAGGAGGGUGGAAUACCCAGUGUAGAGGUGAAAUUCGUAGAUAUUGGGUGGAACACCGGUGGCGAAAGCGGCUCUCUGGUCCGGACCUGACGCUGAGGCGCGAAAGCGUGGGGAGCAAACAGG
rnacentral:rRNA from 1 species